rnacentral:tRNA from 2 species
GCCCGAGUAGCUCAUCUGGCCAGAGCACCGGUCUUGUAAACCGGAGGUAGUGGGUUCGAUUCCCACCUCGGGCU